AGCUGUCACUGCGCGCCGUUUCCGCCCAAACUCCACCAACAGCUCCACUUCCUUAUAAGGACAAAGGAGAGAGAGAAUGAGUGUGUGAUAGAGUGAUGAAAAAGAGAGAAAAAGGAACAGGAAGACUCGAGACUGAUUUUGAAGUCUUGGCCAACAAUAUUUUUUAGAGCCGGAGGGGAAGAGAAAGCUUGGAUUCAGUACAGAUGCUUGUUGGCUAAACAGGAAGUGUGAAUGCCACAGUUUUGAUCUGCCCAAACAGUGCAUGGAAUCACAAAUGCCUGCUUUCACUGGCUAGUAAUAAAUGGACAGUUUUCAAUAGUUGGUCAGUGUGCAUUUCAGACUAAUUUUCAAAAUGUUAACGCAUUUUUAGUAACUUUAUUUCAUGGUGUCGUUGUUAUGCAUGUACUUAAUAUUGUACAAAAAUGCAAAAUUACAAACAUUGUAUAUUACACUGUAAAAAGGACAGCCUAAUAUGAAGUGUGCAACCUAUUUUCCUCAUUAUGGUACACUAUGAACAAUGAAAGAAAUAGUUAACAUCAAAAUGAAAAUACUGUCAGUAAAUAACUGCACUUAGUUUCCUUUUUUUCUGCAGAUGACAAAUUGUAUGCUCAUCCACUUAGAUCACAGUAAUUAAAAAUGAAAACACAGGCUGAUUGAAUCUAAUUUGAUCUCAGAUGAGUUUAAGCUCCAUUUAAAGCAGUAAACAUGUGGUUUGGUUCUUGCUUUCCUAAACACUGCCCUUUAAGGUAAGGUUUACAAAAAUUGUGUACAAUCAUAAGAGACUUUGGGUUAAAGUCCUAAAAUUCAGAACAGAAAUCAUGUACAACAAAACAAAAGACAGCUGUAAAUAUAUUUUCUUUUUAUUUACUCCAGUUAUUAGAACAAAUCACAUGAAACAGGGAAUUCUUCACUAAAACAGCAACAAAAAAGCAUGGUUUAAUCCCUUCAUUUUUUUCCCCAUGCAUUCAAAAUGUGCAAGACUCAGACAUGUGGGGAGAAAAAAAAUAAAAA